UACGUAGGUGGCAAGCGUUGUCCGGAGUUAUUGGGCGUAAAGCGCGCGCAGGCGGUCCUUUAAGUCUGAUGUGAAAGCCCACGGCUCAACCGUGGAGGGUCAUUGGAAACUGGGGGACUUGAGUGCAGGAGAGAAGAGUGGAAUUCCACGUGUAGCGGUGAAAUGCGUAGAGAUGUGGAGGAACACCAGUGGCGAAGGCGACUCUUUGGCCUGUAACUGACGCUGAGGCGCGAAAGCGUGGGGAGCGAACAGG
rnacentral:rRNA from 1 species